CUUUCUGCUUCAACUUUAAAUUAAAUUUCCUUCACUAAGCCAGCCCUCUGGACUUCCAGUAAGCUGUGUUCCUAUUGGCUGUCCAGGUGGCUGCUUGGUGUUAUCAGGAACACCUGAGCAGCUCAGUGUCUUCCUGCUUUAUUUAGCUGCAGACAAACAUUUCCUCUGCUUCUCUUCACCACUGAACCAGAUGCACAAUGAGGGACGUCUGCAGAGACUGAGAAAGUCUCACCACAUCCUGACAUGAGGGAAAAGACUUUAUUGAAGACUACAAUGAGAAAAACUAUCAGACAGCAGACGGCUGCAUUCAAGUCUGUAGCUGCUGAAUUCAUGGAUGAAUCAUCUGGCACUAGAGAGGAAGACCAUCAAACAUCCACGUCAGCUGAUGGAGGUCCAAGAGUCUCACCCAACAAACAACCUACAGAGUGAAGACCUCGAACCUGAUUGGACGGCCUCCUAUUCAGCCACAUGUGAACAAAUGCCUCUAUGUUGGUUUGUUUUCUAAAAUAACAUGACAUGUUCAGGCGUUCUUUGUGUGAAAACUCAGAGAUUUCAGGUAUCAGAAGGUGGUUUUUAACUUUCUUUGUUAACUUUCUGCCUCAACUUUAAACUAAAUUUCCUUCACUAACCCAGCCCUCUGGACUUCCAGUAAGCUGUGUUCCCAUUGGCUGUCCAGGCGGCUGCUUGGUGUUAUCAGGAACACCUGAGCAGCGCAGUGUCUUCCUGUUUUAUUUAGCUGCAGACAAACAUUUCCUCUGCUUCACCACUGAACCGGGUUUGGCUCCAUUGCUUUAGUUUGUGCUUUAGGCGUUGGCUUGCAGCUUCCAGCAGUAAAAUCGUCUUUAAUGUGUUUCUUGGUGUGUUUUACGGCUUUGUACUGGAUAGUUGUCUUGGUAAAUGUGGUUCUUUAGCCACAGUUAGCACAUGGUGCUAAUGUGUGCAGUGAUUAGUGGAUUUGGUGCAGCUGAGUUGUGUCUUUAUUUUGGCUGUAGUGAGUCUUUAGAGGUUUUUGGUCAGACACAUUCUGUAUUCUUGUUUGAGAACCAACGUUGGUUGUCCAGAAGGUAAGAGUUCCUGUCCUGAUUCUCUGUUUAAAGAGGUUCUCUGGUUGCAGGAGACUUUAGCAUUUGGGUUGUGCUAGUUUGGUUUUUGUACCGUUUCAUUUGGACGACUAUCUUGAGGCCCCUCCAUGUGGUUUAGUGAGGUUUUCUGGAACAGUUCUACAAAGCAACCUGCAGCAGAAGAGACUUUGAGAGUUUUUAGGAAGUUCGGGAGAGCAGACUUUAGAGCAGCAGAAACAUUUGUCAGCAGUUUGAGCAGGAGAAGGUGAGCUUCAGAGUAGAAAUGAGACAGAAACCUUCUUGACCUGUGUGGUGAGGUCCUGUACCAAGAGUUUGAGCAGGUUGUGAAGAGUCUGUAGUUCUUUGGUCUGAAAGCACAAGAAGAGUCGACUCCUUAAAGGAGAAAACAGGAGAUAUUGUUGGUUCUUCUGUGGCUCUACAGUUUCCAGUUUCCUUAGACUGAAUAUCAAGUUUAUAUUUUAAAUGAUUUAACAUGUGAGCCCAAGAAGACGUCAAUAAACUCCCUCAAUCCCCUGGACACAACAUAUUUUAUUACCAUGUUAAAUCUUUUUUUUUAAAAAAUAUGUUUCUGAGUUUUAAUCAUAGUUUUAGCAUAGUUUUUUUUCUUUG
ensembl:lncRNA